GAUGAACGCUGGCGGCGUGCCUAAUACAUGCAAGUCGAGCGAACAGACGAGGAGCUUGCUCCUCUGACGUUAGCGGUGGACGGGUGAGUAACACGUGGAUAACCUACCUAUAAGACUGGGAUAACUUCGGGAAACCGGAGCUAAUACCGGAUAACAUGUUGAACCGCAUGGUUCAACAGUGAAAGACGGUCUUGCUGUCACUUAUAGAUGGAUCCGCGCCGCAUUAGCUAGUUGGUAAGGUAACGGCUUACCAAGGCAACGAUGCGUAGCCGACCUGAGAGGGUGAUCGGCCACACUGGAACUGAGACACGGUCCAGACUCCUACGGGAGGCAGCAGUAGGGAAUCUUCCGCAGUGGGCGAAAGCCUGACGGAGCAACGCCGCGUGAGUGAAGAAGGUCUUCGGAUCGUAAAACUCUGUUAUUAGGGAAGAACAAAUGUGUAAGUAACUAUGCACGUCUUGACGGUACCUAAUCAGAAAGCCACGGCUAACUACGU
rnacentral:rRNA from 1 species